AGGGAUAAAAUCAAAGAUGGGGGA
rnacentral:snRNA from 1 species